rnacentral:rRNA from 1 species
UACGUAGGGCGCAAGCGUUUGUCCGGAAUUAUUGGGCGUAAAGAGCUCGUAGGCGGCUUGUCGCGUCGGACGUGAAAGCCCACGGCUUAACUGUGGGCGUGCGGUCGAUACGGGCAUCACUGGAGUUCGGCAGGGGAGACUGGAAUUCCUGGUGUAGCGGUGAAAUGUGUAGAGAUCGGGAGGAACACCGGUGGCGAAGGCGGCCUUCUGGACAGUGACUGACGCUGAGACGCGAAAGCGUGGGGAGCAAACGGG